rnacentral:rRNA from 1 species
GAUGAACGCUAGCGGCAGGCUUAACACAUGCAAGUCGAGGGGUAGAAGUUGCUUGCAACUUUGAGACCGGCGCACGGGUGCGUAACGCGUAUGCAAUCUACCUUAUACAGAGGGAUAGCCCAGAGAAAUUUGGAUUAAUACCUCAUAGUAUAAUUGAAUGGCAUCAUUUAAUCAUUAAAGUUCCAACGGUAUAAGAUGAGCAUGCGUCCUAUUAGCUAGAUGGUAAGGUAACGGCUUACCAUGGCAACGAUAGGUAGGGGUCCUGAGAGGGAGAUCCCCCACCCUGGUACUGAGACACGGACCAGACUCCUACGGGAGGCAGCAGUGAGGAAUAUUGGACAAUGGGCGCAAGCCUGAUCCAGCCAUGCCGCGUGCAGGAAGAAGCAUCUAUGGUGUGUAAACUGCUUUUGUACGGGAAGAAACACUCCUUCGUGAAGGAGCUUGACGGUACCGUAAGAAUAAGGAUCGGCUAACUCCGUGCCAGCAGCCGCCGCCGUAA